GGGCCGCAGCAGGCGCGAAAACUUUACAAUGCAGGAAACUGUGAUAAGGGAACCCCGAGUGCCCGUAUACGCGGGCUGUCCAGGUGUUUAAAAAGCAUCUGAAGAAAGGGCCGGGCAAGACCGGUGCCAGCCGCCGCGGUAAUACCGGCGGCUCGAGUGGUGGCCACUAUUAUUGGGCUUAAAGCGUCCGUAGCUGGACCGAUAAGUCUCUUGGGAAAUCCGCCGGCUUAACCGGCGGGCGUCUNAGAGAUACUGUUGGUCUAGGGACCGGGAGAGGUGAGAGGUACUCCGGGGGUAGGAGUGAAAUCCUGUAAUCCCUGGGGGACCACCGAUGGCGAAGGCAUCUCACCAGAACGGCNCCGACAGUGAGGGACGAAAGCUGGGGGAGCGAACCGGAUUAGAUACCCGGGUAGUCCCAGCCGUAAACUAUGCGCGUUAGGUGUACCGGUGACCACGAGUCACNA
rnacentral:rRNA from 1 species